GACGAACGCUGGCGGCGUGCCUAACACAUGCAAGUCGAACGGGGCUCUUUGGAUCGAGACUUCUGUCAAGUGAAUCUGAGCUUAGUGGCGGACGGGUGAGUAACGCGUGAGCAACCUGCCUUUCAGAGGGGGACAACAGUUGGAAACGACUGCUAAUACCGCAUAAGCCCACAGGUCGGCAUCGACCAGAGGGAAAAGGAGCAAUCCGCUUUGAGAUGGCCUCGCGUCCGAUUAGCUGGUUGGUGAGGUAACGGCCCACCAAGGCGACGAUCGGUAGCCGGACUGAGAGGUUGAACGGCCACAUUGGGACUGAGACACGGCCCAG
rnacentral:rRNA from 1 species